rnacentral:rRNA from 1 species
AACAGAGGGUGCAAACGUUGUUCGGAAUUACUGGGCGUAAAGCGCGUGUAGGCGGCCCUGCAAGUCGGAUGUGAAAUCCCACGGCUCAACCGUGGAAGUGCAUUCGAAACUGCAGGGCUAGAGUCCUGGAGAGGAAGGUGGAAUGCUUGGUGUAGAGGUGAAAUUCGUAGAUAUCAAGCGGAACACCGGUGGCGAAGGCGGCCUUCUGGACAGUGACUGACGCUGAGACGCGAAAGCGUGGGGAGCAAACAGG